GUGGUUGUGGCUCAGUGGUAAAGUGUGUGCCUUGCAUGUAUGAGGUACUGGGUUCUAUCCUCAGCACCACA
rnacentral:tRNA from 1 species